UACGUAGGGGGCAAGCGUUGUCCGGAAUCAUUGGGCGUAAAGAGCGUGUAGGCGGUCCGGUAAGUCGGCUGUGAAAGUCCAGGGCUCAACCCUGGGAUGCCGGUCGAUACUGCCGGACUAGAGUUCGGAAGAGGCGAGUGGAAUUCCCGGUGUAGCGGUGAAAUGCGCAGAUAUCAGGAAGAACACCCGUGGCGAAGGCGGCUCUCUGGGACGUGACUGACGCUGAGACGCGAAAGCGUGGGGAGCGAACAGG
rnacentral:rRNA from 1 species